GUCGGGAUGGCCGAAGUGGUCUAAGGCGUCGGACUCAAGUUCUAAUCCUCCUACGAGGGCAUGGGUUCAAAUCCCACUUCGACA